rnacentral:rRNA from 1 species
CGCGCGUUCCCAUUUUGUUGGUUUCUGAGAUCGCCGUAAUGAUUAAUAGGGAUAGUUGGGGGCAUUUGUAUUCCGUCGUCAGAGGUGAAAUUCUUGGAUUGCCGGAAGACAAACUAUUGCGAAAGCAUUUGCCAAGGAUGUUUUCAUUGAUCAAGAACGAAGGAAGGGGGAUCGAAAACGAUCAGAUACCGUUGUAGUCUCUUCUGUAAACUAUGCCAAUUGGGGAUCAGCUCAGGAUUUUUAAUGACUGAGUUGGCACCCGAAGAGAAAUCUUUAAAUGAGGUUCGGGGGGGAGUAUGGUCGCAAGGCUGAAACUUAAAGGAAUUGACGGAAGGGCACCACCAGGUGUGGAGCCUGCGGCUUAAUUUGACUCAACACGGGGAAACUCAC